ACUAGCUCAAAACAUUGAUGAUUUUGGAACUAAGUCAGUCAUUCGAAAGUUGGCAUGGUGUUUAUGUAAUGAAAAUUGGCCUGUUGAGUAUCAAUGGAAACUUUUAACAUUUUUAUCUAAAGUUGUAGUAUCAGCAAAAUCACCACUCACACAAGGU